rnacentral:rRNA from 1 species
CCUACGGGCGGCAGCAGUGAGGAAUAUUGGUCAAUGGACGAGAGUCUGAACCAGCCAAGUAGCGUGAGGGAUGAAUGCCCUAUGGGUUGUAAACUUCUUUUAUAUGGGAAUAAAGUGUGCCACGUGUGGGGUUUUGUAUGUACCAUAUGAAUAAGUAUCGGCUAACUCCGUUCCAGCAGCCGAGGUAAUACGGAGGAUCCGGUCGUUAUCCGGGUUUAUUGGGUUUAAGGGGAGCGUAGGUGGAUUGUUAAGUCAGUUGUGAAAGUUUGCGGCUCAACCGUAAAAUUGCAGUUGAAACUGGCAGUCUUGAGUACAGUAGAGGUGGGCGGAAUUCGUGGUGUAGCGGUGAAAUGCUUAGAUAUCACGAAGAACUCCGAUUGCGAAGGCAGCAUACCGGCGCCCGACUGACGCUGAGGCACGAAAGCGUGGGGAUCGAACAGGAUUAGAUACCCUGGUAGUC